GCCUGGGUGGCUCAGUUGGUUGAGCGUCUGACUUCGGCUCAGGUCAUGAUCUUGCAGUUCGUGAGUUCAAGCCCCACAUCGGGCU
rnacentral:tRNA from 1 species